UAUGCUCUCACUGUACAUAAAAGAAAAGAUACCUUCAUCAAGGUACAACACUUACAACACUUAAUGAUAAUCAUAGGGUACAAAUUUAACACUUAACGAUAAGUCUUAGGGUACAAAUAAGCAAUCAGGAAACAAUAUCAGUAUAAAUCGUAAGGAUACAAGCAACAAAGUUACAAUCAUAAGUAGAAGGAGCUGGGUGAUGAGAACAAUGAGAUUAAUAGUAGUGCAGAUUUAGUAAACAGUUUGACAGUGUUGAGGGAAUUAUUUGUUUAGCAGAGUGAUGGCAUUGGGGAAAAACUGUCCUUGUGUCUAGUCGUUCUGCUGUGCAGUGCUCUAUAGCAUCAUUGAGGGUAGGAGUUGAAACAGUUUAUGUCCAGGAUGUGAGGAAUCUGUAAAUAUUUUUACAGCCCUCUUUUUGACUCUGCAGUAUACAAGUCCUCAAUGGAAGGCAGGUUGGUAGCAAUUGUUUUUUCUGCAGUUCUAAUAAGUAAGGUUUGUGAUUACAAAAAAAAUGAGAUUUUGUUGAAUGACUUACUCAAGCCAACCCCCCUUUUUUUCUCUAUCUUUUCAGAGUAAAUUUGAUUUCCAUUCACCACACCCCGUUCCUUCAAAAAACGUUUUCUGCCCAAGCCAAAACUUGCAGGAGAGGGGUCGUUUCGUACUCUGAUUUUUGUUGUUGUUGUUUGUUUUGUUUUUGCAGCAAACUCAGCUGUACCGGGAACGGAAAGGCGAACGAUUUUCCUGCGUGGUACAUAUUUAAAACAAAAAACGUGUUAGCGCAGGCAGAUUGCUUGCCGCUACAAUCUGUUUCAGGGGCUGGAGGCUUUAACUGCGGAUACUGUACUCUGGCUUGGCGGCGGUGGAAAAGAACCUGGGAAGAUACGUCGGCGAUGUACAACGAAGAGCUUUUUUCUCACUUCCUCUACGCUAUUUCUCUUUUGGCUUAACAUUCAGCCGCUUGUGCCUAGUUUUUUUUUUAUUUUUUUGGAGGGGGUGUUUCAAAGUCGGGUCAUUAAAGAAAACGCACAUUUUGAAUCUCGACGCGUAUUUUAUUCCAGGAGCCUACUAUCAUCCUUAUAUCUGAUCCCCUGUUAAAAUGCUUUCUCCCGCCCCACCUUCCUUAGCCCUCUUUUGAGAUCCAGCAGGAUAUGCAACCUUCCGGCCCAAACUGCGCUCAGCCGGCUGAAGAUGGAUCGAAAGGCUGGCUUGCAUUCCUUUAAAAUAUAGGCCAGUCUAGCCCCAACCGGGAUGGAAGGGUCCCUCUGUUUUGCAUCGCAAUUGAAGUGGAAAUGCAAGGGAGGAGGGUUCAAAAGAAAAAGAAAAAAGAAAAAAAAAACAGGCCGGGAGGAAGGAGGGCACAAGUACAAGGAUCAGCUCUUUUAUCCAGGAAUGAUGUCACGUCACCUUGAUUUUACGGACAACUCUCGCUAACCGAUGAGAAGCUCUUGCAAAGCAGACGGGCUCCUCCUCUACCGGCCUUUGCGGGGAGAAGCAAUCGCACUACAUUCCCUGCCCCGACACAAUCGUCCUUCCACAAACUGGGGGCGACUCAAAAGGGCCCUGAUCUACCGAACUGCUCGUUUUUGCAAAGUGGGGGGGGGGGAGUUGUCUGAAACGAUUUUGCCCGGGGUCAACUUUGAGGAGGGGACCAACCUCCACCCCCAGCAGCGGGAGACUACGGGGGUGGCGAAGAGCCUUUUUCAACCUUGGCGUUCUCGUCCCCUGCAAUUGCUUCGGCGAGGACGCGUGGAGAGAAAAUAGUCCCUCCUUCCCAGGCCGGCCAACCGGGGGCCCUUUUCACUCUCUUUCGCAUACUAAGAGAAGCCCCCACCCAUCCCGCGAGGCUCGGUUGGAGAAGUCACGCAGCUGCCAGCCCAACCCCGCAGCUCGCCUACACUCGGGGGCAUUGCAAAGAAUAAUGGGAGCUUUGUGAUGCCAGGUCUUAGCUCUGAUCUCAACAGCCAAACUUAAUGCAAGAGAACAAAGGAACUGAUGCAAGGAAGGUAUUAGAGUGGAGAAAGGAAAAAUAGAGGAUUGUAACUGACAGCUCAUUGCAAAUAGUUUUAGCAGGAAUCCCCACCACAAAGCUUUGAGGAGAGGUGCUAAGGAGCAGAAAUAUCAGGCUUUUGGUUGCCAAUGAAAAAUUAGGAACUGGGGCCCUGCAAGAUUUUCCGGAAAAUCUUGGAUGUUCAUAUGUUUCUUGUAGCGUGUCUCAUUAGGCAUCUCUCAAUUCUACUGUGUUUUCAACUGUUUGUCGUUAAACAUAACUUAGUAGGUUGCUUCAGCUUUGAAUUUUGAUAAGGUUUCUUGCCAAAAAUACCUCUGUUUUGUUCAAUAUUUACAUACAAAUUGUCCCCCCCCCCCAAAAAAAAUGAAGGCGGUCUAAGAAGAAGCAAAUAAGUUCCUUUGUUUGGGGACUUUGUUUUGUUUUCAAAAAAACAGCAGUGCAGCUGUAAUGGUAUGUGGGAAUGACCUUGCAGUCUGGGCAACAAAUAUAACCAACCGUCAGAUAAAAGGCAGCUUAGCCCACAGCAGGAAUGUGGGCAGGGCAAGAAGCUUAGAAGAGACCCUCCCUGAUUUUUUGGGCUGUUAAGGACACAUGGGGAGAGAAGUACUUUCAGAUUUGCAAGGUUCUGUUAAUGUAACAUUUCAAUAAAAUGGAAUCUGGUCAUGUUUGCUGUCUGAUCUACCGAGUACGGCUGACAGCAGCUAUCUUUCUGAAAUUCUGCCAAAUUCUAGUUAGGUUCACUUCUCAGGAAUGUUUUCAGAAGAUGCUGGUCUGUGACUAUAACAAACUUGAAAUAUCCUCAAAAAGAGAGGGUAUUUAUUAUUUUUUAUUACCUAAAGGGUAUAUGCCACCCAUAAUUUUACAAUCGUAAGCAGAUUUUUUAUGUCAGAAGGGGAAUCUUUAAAAAAUCCAUUCAAUUCAAUCAAUAGAUUAGAAAGUAACUACGAAUUUGUAUCUGUGCAUACAUGCACGCUUACUUUUGAACUUCGGUAGAUUCAGCCUUCUUUGAACAAUCUACUAUUUCUUCUGAAUUUAAUUCAGUUGUCUGUAAUUAGAAAAGUAGUCUUUUUAUUUCCAGUGGACAUCAAUGGGAAGCCCAUAUUGAAUAACACGAGCACUUUGAAGUGGUCUGAAAUAAAUUAGGUUGUUUUGCAUGUCACAGAAUACAUUUUCAGCUGAAUGGUGAAAGUGGUGCAUGUUCCUAUUGAAAAAAAAAACAUUACUUUGUCAUGCUCAGAAUCAAAUUAUUUCAUGAAGUACUCAUGGUGCUGAAAAAAAGUAAAAUGGCAUCUUCCAUUCAAAUCUAAUUGCACUGCAAUUGCAAUUCAAGGACACAUCCAUUGAAUUUUAUUGGCGAUGAUUCACCAAUGCCACUUUCCAUUACAUUUUUUAAAUAACCUAUGGUUCUGAAACUCUUUUGUGGUCUCCCAUCCAACUAUUAACAAGACCCAAUCUUGUUUAACUUCUUUCAGCCUAGACAAGGUUAGCCAGAUGCUGCCACCUGGUGAAACACCGAAAACAAAUUCUCACUCAAUUUAAUAAGAAAACAGUAACAAAAUUAAAACAUUACUCUGCCCGGUCAACCUCGUUGUGUUCUGUUUGGGCUCAAAAUAUGUUCUUCUUAUGAAUUUCCAAUCAGUCAUGAACAGAGAAUGUGUACUGUACCAAAACUGCGCAGCUGAACUGCUUUUAUAAAGCUGAUUUGGCCUGAAAUCAAACUAAGGAGUAAGUCAUUUCUAAAAUGAAGCAAUUAUUGCCUCUUCUUUACAGCCAGUUAAAUUCAACAUUUAACCAAUUAAAGAUAUACAUAUUUACACAUACUGUUUCUGG